rnacentral:lncRNA from 1 species
GCGGCCGCAGCCCCAUCCAGCCCCGCGCCCGCCAUGCCGUCCGCCGGCCCCGCCUGAGCCGCGGCCUCCGCGCGCGGGCGGGCCUGGGGACGGCGGGGCCAUGCGCGCGCUGCCCUAACGAUGCCGCCCGCCGCGCCCGCCCGCCUGGCGCUGGCCCUGGGCCUGGGCCUGUGGCUCGGGGCGCUGGCGGGGGGCCCCGGGCGCGGCUGCGGGCCUUGCGAGCCCCCCUGCCUCUGCGGCCUAGCGCCCGGCGCCGCCUGCCGCGUCAACUGCUCGGGCCGCGGGCCGCGGGCUGCGGACGCUCGGUCCCGCGCUGCGCAUCCCCGCGGACGCCACAGCGCUAGACGUCUCCCACAACCUGCUCCGGGCGCUGGACGUUGGGCUCCUGGCGAACCUCUCGGCGCUGGCAGAGCUGGAUAUAAGCAACAACAAGAUUUCUACGUUAGAAGAAGGAAUAUUUGCUAAUUUAUUUAAUUUAAGUGAAAUAAACCUGAGUGGGAACCCGUUUGAGUGUGACUGUGGCCUGGCGUGGCUGCCGCGAUGGGCGGAGGAGCAGCAGGUGCGGGUGGUGCAGCCCGAGGCAGCCACGUGUGCUGGGCCUGGCUCCCUGGCUGGCCAGCCUCUGCUUGGCAUCCCCUUGCUGGACAGUGGCUGUGGUGAGGAGUAUGUCGCCUGCCUCCCUGACAACAGCUCAGGCACCGUGGCAGCAGUGUCCUUUUCAGCUGCC